CCCUCAUUCCGAGCUUGAGCUUCUCUCUGCUGGAGAUGGAAGCCUACUGCUCUACAGAUACAGCUGAGAGAGACGCAAGUUUUGUGCAGUUAAAAGAUGGGGACGAGAGGGACGGUGCUACAGACACCAUUGGUGGCUCCUGCUGGGAGUCACCGCUAGGCAAAAAAAAAUUUUUGUAUUUUUUUUUUCAAAUCAUUUUUUAAUAUUUUUAAAAAAUAUAAAAAAUUUAUAAUAAUAUUAAAAAAAAAUUCUUAAUCAUUAAGAAAAAAAAAAAAGAAAAAAGAAAAAAGGGAGCGGUAAGCUCCAGCGGGAUCCCCAGCAUUUUCCGAACGAGAGAGGCAUACGAAGAAAAGCUAAGGAGCGGUAAUCUGUACCACGACCCUACCAUCUACCCCGGUCUCGGAUCCCCUCGCUGCCCUCGCUGUCUCUCCCUCUUAAACCCUAACCCCGAAGGGAAGAAUAGAUCAUCACUCCCGUCUUGCACGAUGCUACUGCUGUUGAUCGUAACAUUACUUCACUUUCGAAUCCGAUGUCCACGGUGACUCACUUUAUCGAUAUUGAUCCGGUUGUAGCCUUUUCCUUUUUGGCCGCUUCACUCAUCUAUCAGUGUUCAAUGAGUUAAUGCCAUGCUCAUACAUAGAUUAUUUGAUUCAAGGGAUCCCGCAACUUCAAAAUCGCUUGAAAGGACCAAAGUGGCUUCCUUUCAUAGUAGGGCUUCCUCCAUUGCUACUAUUUUCUGGUGCUAGCGUUGCAUUUGGAGGUCUGAUGUGCUGGUUACAACUCAUUCAAAUGGUUAAGCUGCAAUUCAGAUACUUGUACAAAACAGAAGCUGGCUCAAGCUGUGAGGAACAUAUCUUGGAGGGCCAGGGCUGUAGAUAUUAGAUCCUCUGUUUUUUAUUAUCUUCAAAGUUUUUAAGAAAAAUCAUAAUGGAAGUACUUACCAAAAAAAUUAAAUCAUUCAAUGAACUUCCUUUUAUUUCAAAAGUUCUACGGCCCCUUCAGGGAAGUUUGUUUCAAUAUGCCACGAUGAGCCUUUGGGGGAGUAUCAGCUUAAAGAUUGUGAGUUCAAACUUCAAAGGAAAGUAUGUUCAAACAUAUCUUGGAGCAGAGGCUCAAAACUAUCUUUUACCUGAGAAUUGAUGUGUAAUUACUAAGAAGAUAGGAGAGAAGGAAGAACAAGAAGUGUAAAACUCGAUAUGUUGACACACCUUCAUUUGCAUAAAGUCUCUUGUUCAUGGGAUUCUAAGCUGUGAUUGACGUUUAAAGUUGUGGAUGUAUAAAACUCGAACUGGUUGUUUUA